ensembl:lncRNA
CGCCCACGAGGUUUUAUCCCAGCCCCCACGCCAGUGAAUGGCCAGGCCACUGCUCGCAGGAUCAGCCCCACUUCCUCGUGUCGGCCAGCCCCUCUCUGAAGCCGCUGCCCCAGAAGGCGCCGGUGCCGCUGUGCCUGAGCACAGGCCACAGAGGAAGCCGGCGGGAGAGGUUUGUGGCAAAUGGAGCGACAGCGAGGCUUGCCACAGGGCCACUGCAGCACCCCAGUGAGGAGAGCGAUUGCCCUCACGCUGUUAAAAUGCAAUUUGCCGAAAGGAAACCGCUGCGGCCGCACGCACCCAACUGCAGCGCCCAAGCAGCGCCGGAAUCGCCGCCACCACAAGAAAGCAGGCAGCCCCCAUUAGCAGGGAAAUCAAUCUUUUACAAGAGCCACAAUGGACCAUUAGCUUUUAACCAGGUUUUAGGGGUGGGGAACAGCCUUCCUGUUGGGCAAACCCUAAGAAGGAAAUAACCGGCUCCAAACAUCCAGGGGCGGUGGGGAGUUGAGAGCCGAGGUAGAGCUCUGAACUCCGCAGCUUGAGCUCGCUGCUACAAUGCAGCCAGCUCCUGCGCGUGGAUGAGCCGGUGGCGGAGCUGCAGGGAGCUGCCCUUAUUUAUUUGUUCCUACGGCACAGGCAGAGACAAGGGCCCUGUUUUAUGUUUCCCUGCAGGAAGGUGAUAAAGUGCCCGGGAGCUGCUGGAAACCAUUCUCCAAUAAAUUCAAAGGGGAAAGUCAUUUUUUUGUGCCUUGGAAGCUUGUGAGAGCUGAGGGAUGCUGGAAGGCAGUGAAAACUGAGGCAGCACAUCACACACUAGUGUGGCAGGAAGCCACCGGAGCAAAUUUUCUGGGCUGUCAUUCAGAAGCUCAUCACAGAGCAGUGAAUACAUUCCUUGUGGGAGCUCAGCAUCAGAAGAAGUUGCAAGCCCCUUCUCAGGAGGAAAGACGAGCACAAGCUGAAACACCCAAGCUGCAAUCAGUGGCAGAACACAACUCCAGGAAGGAUCAUGCCUCAUCAGCGGGUGUUGGCUUUCUAAGGCACCUCAAGUACCCUGCCAGGGUAAUUAGUAGUGAUCUGAAUCAGACAUCACUAUGUACAUGUCUGUCUACAAUGGUGACAUGUUUCCUCAUACAUCUGCAGCCAACAGCAUUUUUGAGGUGGAUACACUCCCUAGCCCGCAGUAAUCCCCUGCCUUGUGCUUGUUGUCACUCUGCACAGGAGUGUUUGUCCCAGAUAGAUCCUUGCAUUGUCUCCAUGUUGCUCUGGGAUUCCAGGCUAGCUGGGAGCAUCAAUGAAAACUGA